rnacentral:rRNA from 1 species
GAUGAACGCUGGCGGCGUGCUUAACACAUGCAAGUCGAACGGAAAGGCUCCUGCUUGCCGGGGUACUCGAGUGGCGAACGGGUGAGUAACACGUGGGUGUUCUGCCCUGCACUUCGGGAUAAGCCUGGGAAACUGGGUCUAAUACCGGAUAGGACGAUGGUUUGGAUGCCAUUGUGGAAAGUUUUUUCGGUGUGGGAUGGGCUCGCGGCCUAUCCGCUUGUUGGUGGGGUAAUGGCCUACCAAGGCGUCGACGGGUAGCCGGCCUGAGAGGGUGGACGGCCACAUUGGGACUGAGAGACGGCCCAGACGCGUACGGGAGGCAGCAGGGGGGAAUAUUGCACAAUGGGCGCAAGCCUGAUGCAGCGACGCCGCGUGGGGGAUGACGGCCUUCGGGUUGUAAACUCCUGUCGCUAGGGACGAAGCGCAAGUGACGGUACCUGGAGAAGAAGCACCGGCUAACUACGUG